GCCUUGUUAGCGCAGUAGGUAGGAUGUCAGUCUCAUAAUCUGAAGGUCAUGAGUUCAAUUCCCCACUGGGGCA